CCUACGGGUGGCAGCAGUGGGGAAUAUUGCACAAUGGGGGAAACCCUGAUGCAGCGACGCCGCGUGAGUGAAGAAGCACCUCGGUGCGUAAAGCCCUGUCAGUAGGGAAGAAAAUGACGGUACCUGACGAAGAAGCCCCGGCUAACUACGUGCCAGCAGCCGCGGGAAUACGUAGGGGGCAAGCGUUAUCCGGAUUUACUGGGUGUAAAGGGAGCGUAGACGGCGAUUCAAGUCAGGAGUGAAAGCCCGGGGCCCAACCCCGGGACUGCUGUGGAACCUGGGUAGCUGGAGUGCAGGAGGGGUAUGCGGAAUGCGUGGUGUAGCGGUGAAAUGCGUAGAUAUCAGGAGGAACACCGAUUGCGAAGGCAGCGUACUGGACUGCAACUGACGUUGAGGCACGAAAGCGUGGGGAGCGAACAGGAUUAGAUACCCGAGUAGUC
rnacentral:rRNA from 1 species